rnacentral:ribozyme from 13 species
AUAAAGAAAGGGGAGACCGAAAAACGGCGUUCAGAAGCAAAUUUAUUUGCUGUGAAUUCCUCUUCUUCCUCUUCUUCUUCUUCUUCUUCUUCUUCUCCUCUUUCUUC